rnacentral:rRNA from 1 species
GACGAACGCGGCGGCGUGCCUAACACAUGCAAGUCGAGCGGGGACAUUGCGACGGACAUGAAGUUUUCGGAUGGAUUGAAAGAUGUAAUGUUCUAGCGGCGGACGGGUGAGUAACGCGUGAGCAACCUGUCCCUUACAGGGGGAUAACACAGCGAAAGUUGUACUAAUACCGCAUGAGACCACAGAGCGACAUCGCUUAGGGGUCAAAGGAGUAAUCCGGUAAGGGGUGGGCUCGCGUCCGAUUAGAUAGUUGGUGAGGUAACGGCCCACCAAGUCGACGAUCGGUAGCCGACCUGAGAGGGUGAUCGGCCACAUUGGGACUGAGACACGGCCCAAACUCCUACGGGAGGCAGCAGUGGGGAAUAUUGGGCAAUGGGGGAAACCCUGACCCAGCAACGCCGCGUGAGGGAAGAAGGUUUUCGGAUCGUAAACCUCUGUCCUUGGUGAAGAGAAAGAGACGUAG